UUUUUACGGAGAGUUUGAUCCUGGCUCAGGAUGAACGCUGGCGGCGUGCUUAACACAUGCAAGUCGAACGAUGAAGCCCAGCUUGCUGGGUGGAUUAGUGGCGAACGGGUGAGUAACACGUGAGUAACCUGCCCUUAACUCUGGGAUAAGCCUGGGAAACUGGGUCUAAUACCGGAUAGGAGCGUCCACCGCAUGGUGGGUGUUGGAAAGAUUUAUCGGUUUUGGAUGGACUCGCGGCCUAUCAGCUUGUUGGUGAGGUAAUGGCUCACCAAGGCGACGACGGGUAGCCGGCCUGAGAGGGUGACCGGCCACACUGGGACUGAGACACGGCCCAGACUCCUACGGGAGGCAGCAGUGGGGAAUAUUGCACAAUGGGCGAAAGCCUGAUGCAGCGACGCCGCGUGAGGGAUGACGGCCUUCGGGUUGUAAACCUCUUUCAGUAGGGAAGAAGCGAAAGUGACGGUACCUGCAGAA
rnacentral:rRNA from 1 species